rnacentral:rRNA from 1 species
UGAACGCUAGCGGCAGGCUUAACACAUGCAAGUCGAGGGGUAGAAGCAGCUUGCUGCUUUGAGACCGGCGCACGGGUGCGUAACGCGUAUACAAUCUACUUUUACAGAGGGAUAGCCCAGAGAAUUUGGAUUAAUACCUCAUAGUAUUUUCGAAUCGCAUGAUUUGAUUAUUAAAGUUCCAACGGUAAAAGAUGAGUAUGCGUCCCAUUAGCUAGAUGGUAAGGUAACGGCUUACCAUGGCAACGAUGGGUAGGGGUCCUGAGAGGGAGAUCCCCCACACUGGUACUGAGACACGGACCAGACUCCUACGGGAGGCAGCAGUGAGGAAUAUUGGACAAUGGGCGCAAGCCUGAUCCAGCCAUGCCGCGUGCAGGAAGACGGUCCUAUGGAUUGUAAACUGCUUUUAUACAGGAAGAAACACCUCUACGUGUAGAGACUUGACGGUACUGUAUGAAUAAGCAUCGGCUAACUCCGUG